rnacentral:misc_RNA from 1 species
GAUGAAGAACGCAGCGAAAUGCGAUACGUAAUGUGAAUUGCAGAAUUCAGUGAAUCAUCGAGUCUUUGAACGCACAUUGCGCCCCCUGGUAUUCCGGGGGGCAUGCCUGUCCGAGCGUCAUUGCUGCCCUCAAGCACGGCUUGUGUGUUGGGCCUCCGCCCCCCGGCUCCCGGGGGGCGGGCCCGAAAGGCAGCGGCGGCACCGCGUCCGGUCCUCGAGCGUAUGGGGCUUCGUCACCCGCUCCGUAGGCCCGGCCGGCGCCCGCCGGCGACCCCCCUCAAUCUUUCCAGGUUGACCUCGGAUCAGGUAGGGAUACCCGCUAAACUUAAGCAUAUCAAUAAGCGGAGGA